CAUAAAACCAAAUUCCUCAAGGAUGUAUUGUUAUAUGCAAAUUGAGGAAAUUCAUAAUCAAAUGAAAGGAGUAAAGCAAAAUCUUCAACAUUAGCAAUUUUAGUUCAAAAUAUACCCAUAAAUAGCCAUCUCUAGCAAACCUCUCUGGGUUAGGAAAAUUGACAACCAAGAAGAAUUUUAUGAUAUCGUGGCAAGACCCCUCUAAUAAUAAGCUCCCUGUGGGUGGAAGUCACAUAAUCAACGCCAGUCACGAAAUAGCGCGAAAUUGGAAAAGAUUUCCAAAGAAACCGCCAUCGAGUAGAUAACAUGCAAGUUCUCACAAAUUUCUUCGUCACACGACAAACAGAGAAUGUGAAUUAGAAUGACUCAGGCAAAUCUCUAAGUCGGUUUUUUUCUUUUUCUGUCGCCACCAUCAUUUUCUUCUUUUGCACUUCCAUGGCUGAACGAAGCUUUGUCUCCUCUUGUUUCAAAUUUGAUAAUUGUGAAUUGUAUAACGGAAAAGGGCUAAAAUUACUCCUGAACAAUAUCAUUUCUUUGUUUUUAUGGCUUAAAAAUACCCCUUAGUUUUUUUUAGCUCUUAAUUAUCUCUUAUUGACAUCUAAUUUUUGUUGUCUACGAUUGAGCUCAAUUCGAGUUUCUUUAAUUUUAAAUAAAAUUACAACAUUUAUUUUAUUCAAAUAAGAUCUUUCCAAAGUAUCUAUCUAGGUAAUUUUAGUCGUUUUAAGUAGCGAUUAUAUUUUUAUAUUUGCGUAUAUGAAAUCAUAUAAUUUUACAGAAAAUUAAGUUUUAAUCAAGGUUAUUAGAAAUAUGGAUUCACAUGGAUAAAAUUUUGCUUUAAAAUUAAUUUAUUCCUAAAACAAUUAUUUUGGAAAAUAUUUGUUUGAUUUUAUUAAAUCAAGAAGCUCGGGAUUGAAUUGGUCGUUAAUUUGUUUCACAUAUUAUUUCAAUUUAGUCAAUUUAUUAAAUUAGAACUUAAUUGAAAAUCAAAUUGAUCAUAAUUACAAUACAAUUGAUCAAUUGAAUUUUAAUUAGGCUAAAAUUUUAAUAUAAUUGUCUAAAUUUCCAUUUUAACUAUUUGAUAAAUGGCCUAAAUCCCAAAAAUCUCUUAGUUUCUGCCCUCCCCUUUCUGAAAAUUACUCCAAACUGCCCCAAUUUAGGCCCAAAACAAUUUCAGCCCAACAAAACAAUAACAACAAUUGAGCCCCCAUAUAAUACUAACCAGCCGCCCAAACAGCCCAAAAUGGCUAACCCGGCCCAUUUACAUCACCGUAGCAACAACUCCAACAAACACCCGAUAACAACAGCUUCAACCAACCAGUGACAACAUCAACGACGUACAAACAACCAACAACGACAAAUCCCUGACCCGAUAACGACCUUGCAAGACCCAAUUCCGUUGAAACCCAACCCGACAACCAACAACGGUAGAAAACCCAGCUUCCCCAUUUAUCAUUUUACCCCUUCGGUACAGCCGUCUGUGGCUAAAAAAUCAAGAACUUUUAUGUGUUCAGUCCAUUGUUCAUCAUUUCAGGCGAAAAAUUAACUCGCCCUUUGACCAAACAUCUCUUUUUCUCUCCAUUGAUUCUUAAGGAUGAAGGUCAUUAAUGGCCUUUGUCUCACUGUGGAUGUGAAAAUUUUUAAGGAUUGGGUUAAAUUUCAGAUUCGAAGUCCAUCUUUUUUUUCAAAAAUUCAAAACCUAAUUUCUCCCCCAAUUUCUCUUAUAAAUAGACGUUGAGGGAUAAGGGAAAAGCGGAGAAUUUCGGAAAAAAACUUGGAGGUUCGGGAGGCGCAUGCUUCUAACCUCACGCAACCGAAAUUCUCUCUCGAGAGUCGAUUCCAACGAAAGUUAAAAUUCUGACGAGAAAUUGAAAAGCCGAUGGGUCAAGGUUGAAAUUUUGGUGGAAGCAAGUUAAAUUUUAGUGGAAUUUCGUUCGAUCAAAAGCUCGUCAUCCCGGUAUCGCUGCGCAAAAAUAGUUCAAACGGACUUCCCUCUUGCAUAUCCAUUGAGUCAAACUCCAUGCCCAAGUUUCAAAAUGAACCAAAAGACAAGUAUACAGGCUGGUAUAUACCUAUUUGGUUCAUAUUAAGAGUGGAAGCAAACAUGCUGAUUUUUCUACGCUUAUACGCAAAGUAUACACGAUGAUGUAUAAAAACGCGCAGAAAAAUAUAGCUGUGAUAUACAACUAAUAUACAUGUAUGGAAAUGGACUUAAAGUCCAUAAAAUUGCAAGCCUAAGGCUGGACAGCUUACUGAUGGGCCAAAAGGGGCCCAACCCCAACUUUAAUUUUUUAUUCUCUUAUAAAAUGCAACUUAUAUACUUAUAUAUUUGUAUUAGCACUAAUUUUAAUUAAUUAACCUAGUGGUUUAUCGCGUUGUUGGCA